GAGAUGGAUGUGUUUGUUCCAAGUACAUCUGCGAAGUGUAUCUUCUUUUACAAUGUUUGCACUGGGCCAAAAGUUCCUUUCAACAGGGUAAUCUAGCUUAGCUCAGUAGAAAUCAGAGGAGGAACCAGAAGAGAGGGGUGAGCAAGGUCCGUGAACAAAAGCUCCAUCACUUCUGGCUCGAAAGCUUUUGUUCCUCCACAGAGACCAUCCGUCAGAUCAGCCCGGACCCUCUGCAUGGCCUCCACAAGCUUGUUCCUAUGCUGCUUCUGGCUGGGUUCAUCACUGGAGACCUCCAGCUACCUGCAGGGUUGGAGAGGACCAGCUCGAUUGUGUUUUCUGUAAAUUUUGGCGAUGAAGGAGCUGGGCUGAGAAGGAGCAGCCCUUGAUGCAGACAAAUUUCUUCUUGAAAAUGAAGCUCGCCUGCCGCUUCCCAAGGCCGCGGUGAACGCGUGCAGCCGAUGUGACACCUGCUCAACCCGUGCUUCCUGAGAGCCGGCUGUUUGGAAGGAGCGAGCAGAUCUGCAGGCACAGCAUGUGUGGAGCAGCUGAUCACUGCGGGGAGGAGGCACAUGGAGAUGGCUGGGAGAAACGGAGAGGGCUGACCUAAAUAGAUGCUGAGCUAAUUUAUUCAUUUCUCUGCUUUAUUAUUUAACACAACUUUGAAACAGCUCAGGACUUC